CAAGUCGAACGAGACUUUUCGUUGUAGCAAUACGAUGGAAAGUUUAGUGGCGAACGGGUGCUUAACACGUGGGCAACCUGCCAUGAAGUGGGGGAUAGCUCGCCGAAAGGCGAAUUAAUACCGCAUGUGAUUAGAGAGGACAUCCUUUCGAAAUUAAAGUCGGGGCAACCUGACGCUUCUUGUGGGGCCCGCGGCCUAUCAGCUAGUUGGUGAGGUAACGGCUCACCAAGGCUUUGACGGGUAGCUGGUCUGAGAGGACGACCAGCCACACUGGGACUGAGACACGGCCCAGACACCUACGGGUGGCAGCAGUCGAGAAUUUUUGACAAUGGGGGAAACCCUGAUCGAGCGACGCCGCGUGGAGGAUGAAGGUCUUCGGAUUGUAAACUCCUGUCAUUUGGGAACAAGGUGCACACGUUAACUGCGUGCGUAUUGAUAGUACCAGAAGAGGAAGAGACGGCUAACUCUGUGCCAGCAGCCGCGGUAAUACAGAGGUCUCAAGCGUUGUUCGGAUUCAUUGGGCGUAAAGGGUGCGUAGGCGGCGCGGUAAGUCGGGUGUGAAAUCUCGGAGCUUAACUCCGAAACUGCAUUCGAUACUGCCGUGCUUGAGGACUGGAGAGGAGACUGGAAUUUACGGUGUAGCGGUGAAAUGCGUAGAUAUCGUAAGGAAGACCAGUGGCGAAGGCGGGUCUCUGGACAGUUCCUGACGCUNAGGCACGAAGGUCAGGGGAGCAAACGGGAUUAGAUACCCCGGUAGUCCUGACAGUAAACGGUGCACGUUUGGUGUGGGAGGAUUCGACCCCUUCUGCGCCGGAGCUAACGCGUUAAACGUGCCGCCCGGGGAGUACGGUCGC
rnacentral:rRNA from 1 species